rnacentral:rRNA from 1 species
AUGAACGCUGGCGGCGUGCCUAAUACAUGCAAGUCGAGCGAACGGACGAGAAGCUUGCUUCUCUGAUGUUAGCGGCGGACGGGUGAGUAGCACGUGGAUAACCUACCUAUAAGACUGGGAUAACUUCGGGAAACCGGAGCUAAUACCGGAUAAUAUUUUGAACCGCAUGGUUCAAAAGUGAAAGACGGUCUUGCUGUCACUUAUAGAUGGAUCCGCGCUGCAUUAGCUAGUUGGUAAGGUAACGGCUUACCAAGGCAACGAUGCAUAGCCGACCUGAGAGGGUGAUCGGCCACACUGGAACUGAGACACGGUCCAGACUCCUACGGGAGGCAGCAGUAGGGAAUCUUCCGCAAUGGGCGAAAGCCUGACGGAGCAACGCCGCGUGAGUGAUGAAGGUCUUCGGAUCGUAAAUCUCUGUUAUUAGGGAAGAACAUAUGUGUAAGUAACUGUGCACAUCUUGACGGUACCUAAUCAGAAAGCCACGGCUAACUACGUG